CACCUGCACCGAAGGAGGAGAUUCAGACCUUCAUGCUAACAUCCGAGGAAUGAGGAGCAAUCUAGCUAAAGAAAAUGGUAAGAUUAUUGUUAUUUUAAUGGACUCCCGGUUAUUAUCUAUUAUAUCACUCAGUCAGAUAUACUUUUAAAUGCUGUUUAAACGUGUUGACCUGUAAAAACUGUUUCAAUUGUGUUUCACUAGGAUGGCUAGCUGACAUUAGCCUAGCUACAGCUAAUGAGAAGCAUGCAUGUUUUAUUUUCAAUUUAUUGAGGUCCAGUCUUACAGCAAAUAAAUAGAAAUAAAAGUGUCAAUUAACCAAAAAAGGGCAAGUUAUUCAAAUAUGACUGCUCACAAAAAUGACUCAAAUGCAAAAUAAAAAAGCUAAGUUUGAAACUUGCAAACCUAACAGAGCAGAAGUCAUGAAAUAUGCAAUAUUUUUAGUUGCCCUGCUUGUGUGAUUGAAAAGAGUAAUAACUUUUUACAUGUGCUCUGAAUUGAGAGACGAUAGACAUGAGGAGCUAAAACAUGAGGCAGAAGUAAAUGGAUGCCUUGUGCAUAAAGGUUGAUUCUGCUGGGAAGGGAGCCUUCAUUACACCAGACUACAUCCUUUUUAAAAUAAUAAAGAUUGGGAUUUAUGGGGUUUUUGGGGGGGGGUGUAGGAGUGGGGGAGGGUAUAUUAGGAUGAAUCAGGAGGUUUGAAUUGGAAACUAACUUCAGCAUCAUAACUUUGGGGGGGGGGAGAGAAUCUGUUUAGGCAAAAUUAAUUUCAGGCCUUUGACACUGACUUAUAAUCAUUGAAUGUUUUGUUUUUUUUUCCUGGAAAAUCCCAACCAGAGAAGUAGAUCCAGUGAUAGGAGUGACGGUGGAGUAGAGUCUACACACAGCGGUUCCAGUUAAAAAGCUACGGAUGAGACAUAUGGGCUUGAUCCAGAGCAGAGGCAAAUGG